AUUGGCGAUCCAUUGGAUAACGACCGAGUUAUAGGCAAAAGUUGGUGCAAAAAUGAGGAAAAUUUUACAUUUUCUCAAACAGGGUAAGGAACUUGGUUCCUCAAAUAACUUCUGGCACAGACAUCUGAGGGCAUGGCCGUCCAAGAAGAAAAUGUAGCCAUUGUUGCCAUCUAUCGACCACAGGUUAAAGAUUGGCGAUCCGUUGGAUACCGACCGAGUUAUAGGCAAAAGUUGGUGCAAAAAUGAGGAAAAUUUUACAUUUUCUCAAACAGUGUAACGAACUUGGUUCCUCGAAUAAAUUCUGGCACAGACAUCUGAGGGCAAGGCCGUCCAAGAAGAAAAUGUAGCCAUUGUUGCCAUCUAUCGACCACAGGUUAAAGAUUGGCGAUCCGUUGGAUACCGACCGAGUUAUAGGCAAAACUUGGUGCAAAAAUGAGGAAAAUUUUACAUUUUCUCAAACAGGGUAAGGAACUUGGUUCCUCGAAUAACUUCUGGCACCGACAUCUGAGGGCAUGGCCGUCCAAGAAGAAAAUGUAGCCAUUGUUGCCAUCUAUCGACUACAGGUUAAAGAUUGGCGAUCCGUUGGAUACCGACCGAGUUAUAGGCAAAACUUGGUGCAAAAAUGAGGAAAAUUUUACAUUUUCUCAAACAGGGUAAGGAACUUGGUUCCUCGAAUAACUUCUGGCACCGACAUCUGAGGGCAUGGCCGUCCAAGAAGAAAAUGUUGCCAUUAUUGCCAUCUAUCGACCACAGGUUAAAGAUUGGCGAUCCGUUGGAUACCGACCGAGUUAUAGGCAAAAUUUGGUGCAAAAAUGAGGAAAAUUUUCAUUUUUUUUUUGAAUUUUUUCAUUUUUUUUAUUAUUUUUCACUCUUUUUUUUAUUUCAAGCAUUAUUUUAGUGAAAAGAAACUCAUUGUAACCAAUUGGCAUUAAAAUAAAUCAAUUUAAAUUUUUUUGCAAAAUUUCUCAAAAAAAUGGCAAGGGGUACCCCUUAUGAAAUUUUCGAGUUGAAAAUUUUUUAAAAAAUUUUUUCUGAUUUUUUAUUCUUUUUUAAAUUUAAAGCACUAUUUAAGUGAAAAGAAACUUAUUGCAACAAAAUUCGCAUUAAAAUAUAUCACAUUUUUCAAUUUUGCUAAAUUACUCAAAAAUGAGGAAAAUUUUACAUUUUCUCAAACAGGGUAAGGAACUUGGUUCCUCAAAUAACUUCAGGCAAAGACAUCUGAGGGCAUGGCCGUCCAAGAAGAAAAUGUAGCCAUUGUUGCCAUCUAUCGACCACAGGUUAAAGAUUGGCGAUCCAUUGGAUACCGACCGAGUUAUAGGCAAAAGUUGGUGCAAAAAUGAGGAAAAUUUUACAUUUUCUCAAACAGGGUAAGGAACUUGGUUCCUCGAAUAACUUCUGGCACCGACAUCUGAGGGCAUGGCCGUCCAAGAAGAAAAUGUUGCCAUUAUUGCCAUCUAUCGACCACAGGUUAAAGAUUGGCGAUCCGUUGGAUACCGACCGAGUUAUAGGCAAAAUUUGGUGCAAAAAUGAGGAAAAUUUUCAUUUUUUUUUUGAAUUUUUUCAUUUUUUUUAUUAUUUUUCACUCUUUUUUUUAUUUCAAGCAUUAUUUUAGUGAAAAGAAACUCAUUGUAACCAAUUGGCAUUAAAAUAAAUCAAUUUAAAUUUUUUUGCAAAAUUUCUCAAAAAAAUGGCAAGGGGUACCCCUUAUGAAAUUUUCGAGUUGAAAAUUUUUUAAAAAAUUUUUUCUGAUUUUUUAUUCUUUUUUAAAUUUAAAGCACUAUUUAAGUGAAAAGAAACUUAUUGCAACAAAAUUCGCAUUAAAAUAUAUCACAUUUUUCAAUUUUGCUAAAUUACUCAAAAAUGAGGAAAAUUUUACAUUUUCUCAAACAGGGUAAGGAACUUGGUUCCUCAAAUAACUUCAGGCAAAGACAUCUGAGGGCAUGGCCGUCCAAGAAGAAAAUGUAGCCAUUGUUGCCAUCUAUCGACCACAGGUUAAAGAUUGGCGAUCCAUUGGAUACCGACCGAGUUAUAGGCAAAAGUUGGUGCAAAAAUGAGGAAAAUUUUACAUUUUCUCAAACAGGGUAAGGAACUUGGUUCCUCAAAUAACUUCUGGCACAGACAUCUGAGGGCAUGGCCGUCCAAGAAGAAAAUGUAGCCAUUGUUGCCAUCUAUCGACCACAGGUUAAAGAUUGGCGAUCCGUUGGAUACCGACCGAGUUAUAGGCAAAAUUUGAUGCAAAAAUGAGGAAAAUUUUCAUUUUUUUUUUAAUUUUUUGAUUUUUUUUAUUAUUUUUCACUCUUUUUUUAUUUCAAGCAUUAUUUUAGUGAAAAGAAACUCAUUGUAACCAAUUGGCAUUAAAAUAAAUCAAUUUAAAUUUUUUUGCAAAAUUUCUCAAAAAAAUGGCAAGGGGUACCCCUUAUGAAAUUUUCGAGUUGAAAAUUUUUUAAAAAAUUUUUUCUGAUUUUUUAUUCUUUUUUAAAUUUAAAGCACUAUUUAAGUGAAAAGAAACUUAUUGCAACAAAAUUCGCAUUAAAAUAUACCACAUUUUUCAAUUUUGCUAAAUUACUCAAAAAUGAGGAAAAUUUUACAUUUUCUCAAACAGUGUAACGAACUUGGUUCCUCGAAUAAAUUCUGGCACAGACAUCUGAGGGCAAGGCCGUCCAAGAAGAAAAUGUAGCCAUUGUUGCCAUCUAUCGACCACAGGUUAAAGAUUGGCGAUCCAUUGGAUACCGACCGAGUUAUAGGCAAAACUUGGUGCAAAAAUGAGGAAAAUUUUACAUUUUCUCAAACAGGGUAAGGAACUUGGUUCCUCGGAUAACUUCUGGCACAGACAUCUGAGGGCAUGGCCGUCCAAGAAGAAAAUGUAGCCAUUGUUGCCAUCUAUCGACCACAUGUUAAAGAUUGGCGAUCCAUUGGAUACCGACCGAGUUAUAGGCAAAAGUUGGUGCAAAAAUGAGGAAAAUUUUACAUUUUCUCAAACAGGGUAAGGAACUUGGUUCCUCGAAUAACUUCUGGCACAGACAUCUGAGGGCAUGGCCGUCCAAGAAGAAAAUGUAGCCAUUAUUGCCAUCUAUCGACCACAGGUUAAAGAUUGGCGAUCCGUUGGAUACCGACCGAGUUAUAGGCAAAACUUGGUGCAAAAAUGAGGAAAAUUUUACAUUUUCUCAAACAGGGUAAGGAACUUGGUUCCUCGAAUAACUUCUGGCACCGACAUCUGAGGGCAUGGCCGUCCAAGAAGAAAAUGUUGCCAUUAUUGCCAUCUAUCGACCACAGGUUAAAGAUUGGCGAUCCGUUGGAUACCGACCGAGUUAUAGGCAAAAUUUGGUGCAAAAAUGAGGAAAAUUUUCAUUUUUUUUUUGAAUUUUUUGAUUUUUUUUAUUAUUUUUCACUCUUUUUUUUAUUUCAAGCAUUAUUUUAGUGAAAAGAAACUCAUUGCAACCAAUUGGCAUUAAAAUAAAUCAAUUUAAAUUUUUUUGCAAAAUUUCUCAAAAAAAUGGCAAGGGGUACCCCUUAUGAAAUUUUCGAGUUGAAAAUUUUUUAAAAUUUUUUUUCUGAUUUUUUAUUCUUUUUUAAAUUUAAAGCACUAUUUAAGUGAAAAGAAACUUAUUGCAACAAAAUUCGCAUUAAAAUAUACCACAUUUUUCAAUUUUGCUAAAUUACUCAAAAAUGAGGAAAAUUUUACAUUUUCUCAAACAGGGUAAGGAACUUGGUUCCUCAAAUAACUUCAGGCAAAGACAUCUGAGGGCAUGGCCGUCCAAGAAGAAAAUGUAGCCAUUGUUGCCAUCUAUCGACCACAGGUUAAAGAUUGGCGAUCCAUUGGAUACCGACCGAGUUAUAGGCAAAAGUUGGUGCAAAAAUGAGGAAAAUUUUACAUUUUCUCAAACAGGGUAAGGAACUUGGUUCCUCAAAUAACUUCUGGCACAGACAUCUGAGGGCACGGCCGUCCAAGAAGAAAAUGUAGCCAUUGUUGCCAUCUAUCGACCACAGGUUAAAGAUUGGCGAUCCGUUGGAUACCGACCGAGUUAUAGGCAAAAGUUGGUGCAAAAAUGAGGAAAAUUUUACAUUUUCUCAAACAGGGUAAGGAACUUGGUUCCUCGAAUAACUUCUGGCACAGACAUCUGAGGGCAUGGCCGUCCAAGAAG